UGCCAGCCGCCGCGGUAAUACGGAGGGGGCGAGCGUUGUUCGGAAUUACUGGGCGCAAAGGGCGCGUAGGCGGCCGAAUUAGUCAGACGUGAAAGCCCCGGGCUCAACCCGGGAUGUGCGUUUGAAACUGUUCGGCUCGAGACCGGAAGAGGAUGGCGGAAUACCCAGUGUAGAGGUGAAAUUCGUAGAUAUUGGGUGGAACACCAGUGGCGAAGGCGGCCAUCUGGUCCGGAUCUGACGCUGAGGCGCGAAAGCGUGGGGAGCAAACAGGAUUAGAUA
rnacentral:rRNA from 1 species